rnacentral:rRNA from 1 species
UGCAAGUCGAACGAUGAACCUCACUUGUGGGGGGAUUAGUGGCGAACGGGUGAGUAACACGUGAGUAACCUGCCCUUGACUCUGGGAUAAGCCUGGGAAACCGGGUCUAAUACUGGAUACGACCUUCUGGCGCAUGCCAUGUUGGUGGAAAGCUUUUGUGGUUUUGGAUGGACUCGCGGCCUAUCAGCUUGUUGGUGGGGUAAUGGCCUACCAAGGCGACGACGGGUAGCCGGCCUGAGAGGGUGACCGGCCACACUGGGACUGAGACACGGCCCAGACUCCUACGGGAGGCAGCAGUGGGGAAUAUUGCACAAUGGGCGCAAGCCUGAUGCAGCGACGCCGCGUGAGGGAUGAAGGCCUUCGGGUUGUAAACCUCUUUCAGUAGGGAAGAAGCCGG